rnacentral:rRNA from 1 species
UCCUACGGGAGGCAGCAGUAGGGAAUAUUGCUCAAUGGGGGAAACCCUGAAGCAGCGACGCCGCGUGAGGGAUGAAGGUUUUCGGAUCGUAAACCUCUGUCCGAAGGGAAGAAAGUGCGUGGUGCUAAUCAGCCGCGUAUUGACGGUACCUUCAAAGGAAGCACCGGCUAACUCCGUGCCAGCGGCCGCGGUAAUACGGAGGGUGCGAGCGUUAAUCGGAAUUACUGGGCGUAAAGCGCACGUAGGCUGUUGUGUAAGUCAGGGGUGAAAUCCAACGGCUCAACCGUGGAACUGCCCUUGAUACU